CCUACGGGCGGCAGCAGUGGGGAAUAGUGGACAAUGGGGGGAACCCUGAUCCAGCGACGCCGCGUGAGUGAAGAAGGAUUUCGGGAGGUAAAGCUCUAUCAGCAGGGAAGAAAAUGACGGUACCUGACUAAGAAGCCCCGGCUAACUACGUGCCAGCAGCCGCGGUACUACGUCGGGGGCAAGCGUGAUCCGGAUUUACUGGGUGUCAAGGGAGCGUAGACGGUGCAGCAAGUCUGAUGUGAAAGGUCGGGGCCCAACCCCGGGACUGCAUUGGAAACUGUUGACCUGGAGUACAGGAGCGGUAAGCGGCAUUCUUAGUGUAGCGGUGCACUGCGUAGAUAUUAGGCG
rnacentral:rRNA from 1 species